UUUUGCUUUCUGUCCACCUAUUGACUUUUUCUCUUUCAGAUUUUAGUCUCAUGUGCCUUCUAAUGAAAAAGAGCCUAAGAAGUGCGGGGCAGCAAAUGACUGGCUAUGUGUGGGACUGAGCUGCCUGCUGAAGUUAAUCCAUGGCCACUUAGUCAGGUCCGGAGCAGCUCCAGCACCCUUUGGCACCACCUGCCCAGACGCCUGGGUCCGCCGCUUCUCUCCCGUGUGCCGCUGCUGCUGACACACCGGUUGGGGUCUGCUGGGUUUUGUCGACUGCGCGAGGGUCCAAGGCAAAGAGGGAAGGAAUGUCCAGAUCACCCACAAGGAAGGCAGGAAGGCUUUAUUGUUGCGGAGAGCUGCGGUGGGGGGGUAGCGACCCGAACUUCCCACUCCAUGGGGGAAAAUGGCUCCGGGACCCAGGAGGGAGCGGGAUGAUUUAGGGGAUGUGAUAGGGAGGGCAGACGCCCCCCCACCCAAUUGGUGCGGGUGACGCAAUGAUGAUGUAGGACAGCGACCAACCAGAGAACCCCGCAGGGGUGGACACCGA